rnacentral:rRNA from 1 species
GACAGAGGGUGCAAACGUUGUUCGGAAUUACUGGGCGUAAAGCGAGUGUAGGCGGUCUGAUAAGUCGGGUGUGAAAGCCCUGGGCUCGACCCAGGAAGUGCACUCGAAACUGACAGGCUAGAGUAUCGGAGAGGUUGGUGGAAUUCUCGGUGUAGAGGUGAAAUUCGUAGAUAUCGAGAGGAACACCGGUGGCGAAGGCGGCCAACUGGACGAAUACUGACGCUGAGACUCGAAAGCGUGGGGAGCAAACAGG